rfam:Gossypium hirsutum cultivar TM-1 chromosome 6, whole genome shotgun sequence
AUUUCGUGAUGAGGGCACUUUCGUAAUAACUCUUUGAAUCUUUCCCAUGCCUCAUACAAGGACUCAUCAUCCAUUUGUUGGAAAGCAGUAAUCUCAUUUCUCAGCUU